rnacentral:rRNA from 1 species
GGGCGCACGGCGGAUGCCUUGGCACAGGGAGCCGAUGAAGGACGCGGCAAGCUGCGAUAAUCCCCGGCGAGGAGCACACAUCCUUCGACCCGGGGGUCUCCGAAUGGGCGAACCCAUGCACAGCAGUGUGCAUAUCCCCACCCCGAACACAUAGGGGUGGGGAGGACAACCCGGGGAACUGAAACAUCUAAGUACCCGGAGGAGAGGAAAUCAAUCUCGAGACUCCCCGAGUAGCGGCGAGCGAAAGGGGACCGAUGGCCAAACCGUCGAGCGGGCAUACCCGGCAGGGGUUCCGCCGACGGGGUUGCAGGGCCGCGCAUCCGGGGGCUGCCGCCCCCGGGCGCAGGUCCGGCUGGGGAGCGGAACGGCAUGGGAGGGCCGGCCGCAGCGGGUGACAGCCCCGUACGCGAACCCAGACCGGACGGCGCGACGCGGUCCCUGAGUAGGGCCGGGCACGUGAAACCCGGUCCGAACCUGGGUGGACCACCAUCCAAGCCUGAGUACUACCCUGUGACCGAUAGCGCACCAGUACCGUGAGGGAAAGGUGAAAAGCACCCCGGGAGGGGAGUGAAACAGUACCUGAAACCGUGCGCCCACGAGCAGUCGGAGCACCUUUACGGUGUGACGGCGUGCCUUUUGUAGAAUGAGCCAGCGAGUCGCUGGCGCGGGGCGAGGUUAACCGGAAGGGAGCCGUAGCGAAAGCGAGCCUUAACAGGGCGACUUGAGUCCCGCGCCGCGGACGCGAAGCCGGGUGAGCUAUCCGUGGGCAGGCUGAAGCGGGGGUAAGACCCCGUGGAGGGCCGAACGCACGUCGGUUGAAAACGGCGGCGAUGACCUGCGGAUAGGGGUGAAAGGCCAAUCAAACCCGGAGAUAUCUCGUUCUCCCCGAAAUAGCUUUAGGGCUAGCGUCGCGCGUUCACCGCCGGAGGUAGAGCACCGGAUGGACGAGGGGGCUUCGCCGCCUACCGAAUCCAACCGAACUCCGAAUGCCGGCGGCCCAGAGCGCGGCAGUCAGAGCAUGUGGGCUAAGCUGUGUGCUCGAGAGGGAAACAGCCCGGACCGCCCGCUAAGGUCCCCAAGUUCCAGCCGAGUGGCAAAGGAUGUGCGUCCGCCCAGACAACCAGGAUGUUGGCUUAGAAGCAGCCAUUCAUUCAAAGAGUGCGUAACAGCUCACUGGUCGAGUGGACAUGCGCCGACAAUACACGGGGCUAAGCUGGACACCGAAGCGGCGGGAUUUUAUUUAUAGAAUCGGUAGGGGAGCUUCCCAUGGGCGGCGAAGCCGCCGGGCGACCGGCGGUGGAGCGCAUGGGAGUGAGAAUGCUGGCAUGAGUAGCGAGAGACGAGAGAGUAACUCGUCCGCCGUGAACCCGAGGUUUCCUGGGCAAGGCUAAUCCUCCCAGGGUCAGUCGGGGGCUAAGGCGAGGCCGGGAGGCGUAGCCGACGCGCAGCAGGCAGACAUUCCUGCACCGCGCACGCGGCGCUACGACCGACGGUGCGACGGAUGGGGGUGGCUCGGCGGGGUUCUGGACGUCCCCGUGAUGGAGCGCGGCCCGCGGACCAGGGAAAUCCGGUCCGCACGAGGGCGAGGCUCCGGACGAAGCACUUAAGCGAAGCGAGUGAGCCCGAGGUCCCUAGAAAAACCCCUAGGCAGGCGCGUGCGCGCCCGUACCGCAAACCGACACAGGUGGGUGGGUAGAACAUACCGAGGCGAUCGGGUCAACCAUGGUCAAGGAACUCGGCAAAAUGGCCCCGUAACUUCGGGAGAAGGGGUGCCCGCGCGUACGUGAACCGGCUUGCCCGGGGAGCGGAGGCGGGCCGCAGUGGAGAGGCCCAAGCGACUGUUUACCAAAAACACAGGACUCUGCAGAAGCCGCAAGGCGACGUAUAGGGUCUGACGCCUGCCCGGUGCCGGAAGGUCACGCGGAGGAGUUAGCGCACCGCGCGAAGCCCCGAAGCCAAGCCCCGGUAAACGGCGGCCGUAACUAUAACGGUCCUAAGGUAGCGAAAUUCCUUGUCGGGUAAGUUCCGACCUGC